CCGGGGAACCAAUUUAAUCCGACUUUUAUUUGUUAUUGUUUCCUUUCUUCUCCAUCAAUCGAAAUCUCUACUUCUUCAUCUUUGAUCAAUUUCCGAUUUCCCAUACUAAAUUUGGAUAACGAUUUAAUUUAGAAUUUAGAUUUUACACAUUAUCAUCAUCAUUUUCCAGAUUUUAAUUUCAUCUUCUUGCUACCAAAACCAGCUGAUUAAAAAAAGUCGUCGGGUUUUUCGUGGAUGAAUGGUGACCGAUUCAUGGAGUCUUAAGAGUUACAUUGGAUUAUGAAGCUUUGGUUGAGUGAGAUUCGAAACUGGAGAUAGAAAAUGGCUUAAAACAUUGUCAACUAACAUAUUCUCCCAUUAGCAGCUGCUGGCACAUAAUGUGUUUGUAAAAAGGCCUGAACGACUCCUUCAGUUUGCACCAGAACCACAACUUUCCUGACGUCAAUACCAGCAUCUUGAGUACUCACGAGGCUUUGGUUUCAACUAUGCAGUGGGUUUCUUGAAAACCAUCACCAAUAUCCAUCUCUUUCAGAGGCCAGUUGGGAAGCCUUGCCGAAUGUGUGAACUUGCAAUUCAGAAUCUCAGUUAUGCAUUAUCAACUGCGUCCAUUGCUAUGUCUGUAUGGUUAUCUGCACCACAAUCUCUUAAUGCACACACAUAGCCAGACUUGGAAUUUCUGUAUUAGGGGGGUUAUAUUGAAGACUGCACUUUGGGGUUCCGCUUCUAAUCACGUUGGUAAUGACCCAAUCGAGGCCGACUCCAACCCAGGACGGGUGUUGGCAGCUGUAUACUCCACUUUUGCGAAGAACUAUUACAGUGUGCUGAAUGUUACACUCUGUAGAACCUAACUCUUAAUUAUAAAUGCUUAUUUAUGGAUUUAAU